CCGUAAGGGAGGAAGCCACCUAAGGUAGGGUCAGCGAUUGGGGUGAAGUCGUAACAAGGUAGCCGUAGGAGAACCUGCGGCUGGAUCACCUCCUUU
rfam:Clostridium paraputrificum strain 373-A1 CP373A1_11, whole genome shotgun sequence.